CGGGUGCACUGAUCCAGCCGGGCCUUUCCCUCUGUGGAACCCCAUGGCCUUCACUGGCUGUGGCGGGGAAACAGGACUUUUACUUUGAAAAAAUUAGAGUGCUCCAGGCAGGCCUAUGCUCGAAUACAUUAGCAUGGAGUAAUAGAAUAGGACGUGUGGUUCUAUUUUGUUGGUUUCUAGGACCGCCGUAAUGAUUAAUAGGGACAGUCGGGGGCAUCAGUAUUCAAUUGUCAGAGGUGAAAUUCUUGGAUCUAUUGAAGACUAACUACUGCGAAAGCAUUUGCCAAGGAUGUUUUCAUUGAUAAGGAACGAAAGUUAGGGGAUCGAAGACGAUCAGAUACCGUCGUAGUCUUAACUAUAAACUAUGCCGACUAGGGAUCGGACGAUGUUAUUCUUUGACGCGUUCGGCACCUUUCGAGAAAUCAAAGUGCUUGGGCUCCAGGGGGAGUAUGGUCGCAAGGCUGAAACUUAAAGAAAUUGACGGAAGGGCACCACCAGGGGUGGAACCUGCGGCUUAAUUUGACUCAACACGGGGAAACUCACCAGGUCCAGACACAGUGAGGAUUGACAGAUUGAGAGCUCUUUCUUGAUUCUGUGGGUGGUGGUGCAUGGCCGUUCUUAGUUGGUGGAGUGAUUUGUCUGCUUAAUUGCGAUAACGAACGAGACCUUAACCUGCUAAAUAGCCCGUACUGCUUUGGCAGUUCGCCGGCUUCUUAGAGGGACUAUCGG
rnacentral:rRNA from 1 species